rnacentral:lncRNA from 1 species
GGGAAGGGAAGGAAAAGAAAAGGAAGGACAGGGAAAGCAAAUUUAGCAAAAAGAAAAUGAUAGUGUAAUCAUAACGGCCCCAAGCACUAAAGAUUUUUUUAUCAAGUUAAAAAAAAAAAUUGCAGUUAAACAUGGGAAGUUCAAAUUAAAUAUUUAAUGAAAAGAAUAUUACUUUGCUGACUGAAACAAACUAGAUAGCACAGCUAAAAAUCAAAGCCCUACUGCCUACUUAUGCUUUGUCGUUGCCUUAAGACUACCCACAGAGAACACUGCUGAACUUAGACUUCGCAGGUUUUGUCUUAAACUGUGAAUUUCCGUGCUUUGGUAGUUGAGGCCAGUCAACCUGCUUUUCAUAUUGCUUUUUAGGUGAAUAUUUCUAAGGCCAAAUCUGUUUUAAAUGGAAAUUGUGAUAGUAUUUCUACAAUAGCAAACAAAAUGUUUUAGAUAGCAGAGCACCUUCUCAAGUACGACAAGAACACAUGGAAAGCAGCCAACCCGAUGAUCCACACACACCUGUUAAGACUGCUGAAGUAGAAUAGAAGAUAAGCAAAGGAAGCAGAGCAGAGCAUGGAAAAUCAGCAGGUUUCCAAAAAGGUUGAAAAAUACACGCGUCUUUUUCUUCUUCUUCCUUUUUUAUUUUUUUAUUUUAUAUUCUCUCUCGGGUACUAACCAUAACUUCAAGCAGAAAAAUAAUAAACUGAAUCUAAAGAUUUAUUACAUUCCACUCAGUUUGAUAUUUUAUCUGAGGCAGUGCAUUGGUUGUGUGUUUUGAACGUGGCUAUAGUUUGACCUAAGAGUUGGGAUUGUCCCAUACGAUCCCCUUUCUGAUAUACUUUUUUUAAAGAACAAUUGUAUUGACAUAUGAAACCAACAUCAAAAAAGACCCCAAUAUUUCUUCUUCCAAGAAGAAUUAGUUCCUGCCGUAUACUAUACUGGUGGGACUAAAGACACUAUUCUGUGUUCAGAGAGCACAACUAAUCCUUAAGCCUCAUCAGAGACUGAAAACCUUUGCUGUUCAAACAGUAAGCACAGAAGCAACAAGCUGAUGAUACGAAAAAGCAGAUUAACUCAUUGAGUACUUGGAUAUAUACUAGGAUGCUAAAAAUAACCAGAAGCAAAGUCUCUUUUAUUCUUUUGAUGGAAUACGUAUAAAUGUAACCAGGAACUUUUUCUGAAUUGAUGUAAUUUUUUUUUUUUGCAAUAAAUUAUAUUUUAAAGACCUUUCCCUUAAAUAU